rnacentral:rRNA from 1 species
AACGAACGCUGGCGGCAGGCUUAACACAUGCAAGUCGAGCGCCCCGCAAGGGGAGCGGCAGACGGGUGAGUAACGCGUGGGAAUCUACCCAUCUCUACGGAAUAACGCAUGGAAACGUGUGCUAAUACCGUAUACGUCCUUCGGGAGAAAGAUUUAUCGGAGAUGGAUGAGCCCGCGUUGGAUUAGCUAGUUGGUGGGGUAAAGGCCUACCAAGGCGACGAUCCAUAGCUGGCCUGAGAGGAUGAUCAGCCACACUGGGACUGAGACACGGCCCAGACUCCUACGGGAGGCAGCAGUGGGGAAUAUUGGACAAUGGGCGCAAGCCUGAUCCAGCCAUGCCGCGUGAGUGAUGAAGGCCCUAGGGUUGUAAAGCUCUUUCACCGGUGAAAAUAAUGACGGUAACCGGAGAAGAAGCCCCGGCUAACUUCGUGCCAGCCGCCGCAGUAAAAC